rnacentral:lncRNA from 1 species
AUGUAAGACCGCAAGAGGGCAAGGCCUGGGUUUCCAUCCCAUUUUCAUUGGAUAAUUUCCACCAGUUCUAUAAUGAAGCUAUUCAAAAGAGGCUAAACAGGCAAAGUACUUAAACGACGAUAUUCCAAAUGGCAGUCACUUCAGAGGGAGGCACUGGUACAUGCCAUGUGCUUUUAGACACAUCUUCGUUCUUCAGUACUUCCCAGGCCUGUUGAAUCUCACUCUCUGAGCAGUUGGCUUCUGGUAGCUGCCAUCUCUUCUGUGCAGCCUGACCGGCACAUGGUGGGCACUGCUCUCAGAGCAUGGUGAGGGUCCUGCUGAGCUGGAGGACACCUUCCUCAAGGCAUUGUGCUCUAACACCAUGGACCGUGUCUCCUGGCCCACCGCAGCCCCCCGAUACAGUCCCAUGCUACAGGAAGUGCAUUCAAGCUUCACAUUUAAACUGGAUUAACCAGUUUUCUGAAGUGAUCGGUGUCAUCCUUUGGACAACAACAUACUUGGAUGAAAAUGAAUGGCCAGUUCAGCAUCUUCUGCUGUGAUGUAAGCAGACAGGAAGGCUCAUCC